UACGGAGGGUGCUAGCGUUGUUCGGAAUUACUGGGCGUAAAGGGCGCGUAGGCGGCCGUUUGCGUCGGAUGUGAAAGCCCGGGGCUCAACCUCGGAACGGCAUUCGAUACGGGACGGCUGGAGACCGGGAGAGGAGAGUGGAAUAGCCAGUGUAGAGGUGAAAUUCGUAGAUAUCGAGAGGAACACCGGUGGCGAAGGCGGCCUUCUGGACAGUGACUGACGCUGAGACACGAAAGCGUGGGGAGCAAACAGG
rnacentral:rRNA from 1 species